rnacentral:rRNA from 1 species
AUUGAACGCUGGCGGAAUGCCUAACACAUGCAAGUCGAGCGGGGGUAGCAAUACUUCAGCGGUGGACGGGUGAGGAACACAUAGGAACCUGCCUUUAGGUGGGGGAUAGCUUGGGGAAACUCAAGGUAAUACCGCAUGAUCUCUAACGAGCAAAGGGGCGCAAGUCUCGCCUUUAGAGGGGCCUAUGUCUGAUUAGCUAGUUGGUGGUGUAAUGGACCACCAAGGCGACGAUCAGUAACUGGUUUGAGAGAACGAUCAGUCACACCGGAACUGAGACACGGUCCGGACUCCUACGGGAGGCAGCAGUGGGGAAUAUUGGACAAUGGGCGAAAGCCUGAUCCAGCAAUUCCGCGUGUGUGAAGAAGGCCUUCGGGUUGUAAAGCACUUUAAGCAGGGAAGAAAAAGCUUGGCCACACCAAGCCUUGACGGUACCUGAAGAAUAAGCACCGGCUAACUCUGUGCCAGCAGCCGCCGUAACAC